rnacentral:rRNA from 1 species
GGGGAAUUUUGGACAAUGGGCGAAAGCCUGAUCCAGCCAUUCCGCGUGAGUGAAGAAGGCCUUCGGGUUGUAAAGCUCUUUCGGCAGGAACGAAACGGUGGGCUCUAACAUAGCCUGCUAAUGACGGUACCUGAAGAAGAAGCACCGGCUAACUACGUGCCAGCAGCCGCGGUAAUACGUAGGGUGCGAGCGUUAAUCGGAAUUACUGGGCGUAAAGCGUGCGCAGGUGGUUGUUUAAGACAGAUGUGAAAUCCCCGGGCUUAACCUGGGAACUGCGUUUGUGACUGGACAGCUAGAGUGCGGCAGAGGGGGGUGGAAUUCCACGUGUAGCAGUGAAAUGCGUAGAGAUGUGGAGGAACACCGAUGGCGAAGGCAGCCCCCUGGGCCAGCACUGACGCUCAUGCACGAAAGCGUGGGGAGCAAAC